UACGGAGGGGGUUAGCGUUGUUCGGAAUUACUGGGCGUAAAGCGCGCGUAGGCGGACCAGAAAGUUGGGGGUGAAAUCCCGGGGCUCAACCCCGGAACGGCCUCCAAAACUCCUGGUCUUGAGUUCGAGAGAGGUGAGUGGAAUUCCGAGUGUAGAGGUGAAGUUCGUAGAUAUUCGGAGGAACACCAGUGGCGAAGGCGGCUCACUGGCUCGAUACUGACGCUGAGGUGCGAAAGUGUGGGGAGCAAACAGG
rnacentral:rRNA from 1 species